AACGUCCCAGUUCGGACUGUAGUCUGCAACCCGACUACACGAAGCUGGAAUCGCUAGUAAUCACGAAUCAGAAUGUCGCGGUGGAUACGUUCCCGGGUCUUGUACACACCGCCCGUCACACCAUGGGAGUCGGGAAUGCCCGAAGUCAGUGACCCAACCUUUGGAGGGAGCUGCCGAAGGCAGGUCUGAUAACUGGGGUGAAGUCGUAACAAGGUAUC
rnacentral:rRNA from 1 species